UACGUAGGGUGCAAGCGUUUGUCCGGAAUUAUUGGGCGUAAAGAGCUCGUAGGCGGCUUGUCACGUCGGAUGUGAAAAUCAGGGCUCAACCCUGGACCUGCAUUCGAUACGGGCAGGCUAGAAUUCGGUAGGGGAGACUGGAAUUCCUGGUGUAGCGGUGAAAUGCGCAGAUAUCAGGAGGAACACCGGUGGCGAAGGCGGGUCUCUGGGCCGAUAUUGACGCUGAGGAGCGAAAGCGUGGGGAGCGAACAGG
rnacentral:rRNA from 1 species